UACGUAGGGUGCGAGCGUUAAUCGGAAUUACUGGGGCGUAAAGCGUGCGCAGGCGGUUUGUAAGCCAGAUGUGAAAUCCCCGGGCUACACUGGGAAUGCAUUUGGGACUGCAAGGCUGGAGUGCGGCAGAGGAGACUGGAAUUCCUGGUGUAGCAGUGAAAUGCGCAGAUAUCAGGAGGAACACCGGUGGCGAAGGCGGGUCUCUGGGCCGAUACUGACGCUGAGGAGCGAAAGCGUGGGGAGCGAACAGG
rnacentral:rRNA from 1 species